rnacentral:tRNA from 1 species
GCUAUUUUGGCAGAUAAUAUGCAUUAGAUUUAGGAUUUAAUUAUAUAGCGGAGUCUAUAGAUAGUAAAGUAAUUUUAAAGCUAAUUAUUUU